UCCUAGUUGCCAUCGGGUAAUGCCGGGCACUCUGGAAGGACUGCCAUCGACAAGAUGGAGGAAGGUGGGGAUGACGUCAAGUCAUCAUGGCCCUUAUGUCCAGGGCGACACACGUGCUACAAUGGCCGGCACAACGGGAAGCGAGUUCGCGAGGACAAGCGGAUCCCUUAAAGCCGGUCGCAGUUCGGAUUGAAGUCUGCAACUCGACUUCAUGAAGCUGGAAUCGCUAGUAAUCGUGGAUCAGCCAAGCCGCGGUGAAUACGUUCCCGGGCCUU
rnacentral:rRNA from 1 species